GCCCGCUUAGCUCAGUGGUAGAGCGCGCCACUCGUAUCGCGUUUCAUCGGUUACUAUAUGCAAUGGUGAGGUCGGUUGUUCAAACCAGCCAGCGGGCA
rnacentral:tRNA from 1 species